GCGCCUGUGGUUGAAUGGUACAAUGGGUCGUUGCCAACGACUUGGUCCGGGUUCGAUUCCCGGCAGGCGCA
rfam:Plasmodiophora brassicae isolate e3 genome assembly, contig: scaffold_1